rnacentral:lncRNA from 1 species
CUGAUUCCUCCCAGCUUGAGCCAGGGUGACUCAGAGUUUGUAAAAUGGAGCCAGGAAAACUAUUGAAGGGGUCUUAAUUAUAAAGCACGUCUCCCUUUGCACUUUUUUUUUUUCCCCCAGGUGAUAUCCUGAUAGGCUGUCUGUGACAUGAACAGGGGGAAGCCCUGCAAUGUUUUUAGUGUCACAUGUUCCCAACCAGGUUCUCAACAAGGAAAGAGCAAGAUGGACAAGUUCGGAUAAGCCGUGUUUGGGUCGUGUCCCAAAAAGGAUAAAAGACUUUAAAGACUUUCAAGAGAGAAGGAAGAGUAGAGGGGUUGUAGAGGUGUAUGGCAUUAGAGAAACCCUGAGUGAGACACUGAGUUUUUUUUGUUUUUUUUUUUCCUGCUAAAAACAAACUCAAACUUUGAACCGAAGCUCAUUCACGUAUUAUGACCUAUUAUUAUGAAACUACCGCUUCGUAUGAAACACUGUGAAGUUUCCUGGCAAUCAAGUGGCAGUGCACACUUGGGCUCACCUAUCCUCUACGUUUCUGACUUGAACUUGACAUGGAAGGAAAUCUGGUGUUAGCUGGUCCUCUCUUCCCUUUGCUGUGGCCACAUACACCUUCAUUAUGCCUUUCCCCAUGCACUGCUUCAGCACAAAGAGCACCAGGAGGUGGAAGGGAGGACGAGCGGCUGCCCUGUGCACUCAUUUAUCAACACAGGCUGCAGACAUCUUUCAUCAAUCCUCCUGCUGUCAGAACUAACCAGAAGAAGGGACAGAAGCAAUCAUAACAACUUCCUCCUGUGGUGGGUUUCCAAGAGACAAAAAUGCAGCGUGGUUGAGACCUGCACGGAGGUUCGAGGAGUCUGGCCUUUUGCAGAGCACAAAUGGAUUCCCGCUCGCCUACGGAGCAUAUCUGAUACACAGCAGAAUUGUAUAAAAUGAGGAAUGACUGCAAAAUAUGACUCGUGUGUGUGUGUGUGGAGGGGCAGUGGGUUGAAGAGGAAGAUGGAGUGUGAGUAAAUUCCCAGGAUUGUCCAUGGACUGGUACCAUCCGUACCUCUAAAUGGGGAAAACAACAGUCUGAGACAUUUUCUGAAAAGGUGUAGGUGUUGGUGAAAUGGGCCAGGAGAAAAUAGGUACUGGCAGUAGGCUCAUUAAGCAAUCACUCUGCCAUUUACAAGUAACAAAAGAGACUUCACAGACUGCUGAGAAAAUGGAUUAACCUGCAGUCAAGCCCUGACCCUCACCCAGUUCUUCCUGUGAAAUAAGAUGGUGGCACCAGGUCCUGAGUGAAUGUUUGAAAGCUAACUUCAGUCCCUUUAGAGGAGGUUAUUGCUUCCAUGAAGUGCUUGAGGUCUAUAGCAGAUUCAUUUAGGGUUUCCUUAUGAGAUCUGGAAAAUGGGUGUUGGAAAAUAGAGGUGGAUGCAAAAGACAGGAAGAGAAAAGCCCUGCCCUUAUUGCAGGACAAGGCUUGUACUCAUUUUGAGAGAUGGCUUUCAGAUUGAAAAUGCACCAUCCACUAACAAAGAGGCUGCAGUGGGGUGCGUGUCUUUUGUCCAGCCUGUUGUAUCUAGCUGAUACCCUGAUGCAUACCAAAGUCUUUGAAGGGAAACUCAUAAACUCUUUAUAAGUGGGCUGUGAUAAGCUCAAGGCAGCCCAUCUAAAUCAUAAAGAAAUGUGAGGUGCCCUGGAAAGAAAUAAUUUGCUUUUCACACAUUGUGGGGGAGCACACCAGAGAUGGAAAAGAGCAAUUCAAGUUAAAACACAACCGCAGCAUGGAAACAACUGGAUAUAAACUGCCCAAGAAUAAAAUUAAAUUGGAAACUGGAAGGAGUUCUGUC